rnacentral:lncRNA from 1 species
CCCAGAACAAUUGGACUUUGGUUUCUGAUGGGGUCACUGGACUUUACAACAACACUGGCAAUUAUUGCAGAGGAGACUUGCAGAGGCACUGAGGCCUGGAGGGUCAGCUCUCCUGGCGAGUUAAUGAAACUGGUCUGACUUUCAUGCUGUGAAAUAGGGCUGUCGUGGGGCUGGAAGGGGGUUGAACUGAAAGGUCUCUCGAAUUAACGCAGUGUUACUGGUGGGAAACAAGUCUUAAAGAGCUGUGGUUCUGCCCGCAUGCCUUCAGGUGGUGUGGAGGUGCCAGUGCUGUUUGUAUUCUCUUGAGUUGCUGGGAGAGACCUCCAGAGCAUCUAGUUUUUGAAAUUGCGUGCAAUAUUGAUGUCAAAAGCAGACAGGAGAUAACAAGGUUGAUAAGAGCAGUUUGGCUUUGGGAGGGGGAACGCCUGUUUCUGGGAUGGGAUUGUACAGCUGGCACCUUCACGGCACGUGAGCAGAUGUGAACACCCCAGCAGAGUUCAGAGGAGCCUCUGCUCUGUUCAGUUACGUGUUUCUGGUCACUCUGCAGAAUGCGGGUCCCUCCUGUACAGCCUGAGGGCACGGGCCCCUUGUAGCAUCCUUCCGUUCCCAUCCCUGGCAGUCGGGAUCGCAGCGCAGCGCUGACGCCCUGAGCAGGCUGGGGGCAGGUGUCAUGCCCUGGUUUGUUACGUUUUUAAGUCCGUGGGUAAAUGUUGCGCAGGGAAAACACAUUUUUCCUUCCUUGGCUCCUUGCUGUCUGGCCGGGUCGCUCCUCCUGUAGGCGCUGUAUUUAUUGUUAACAGGGUUGGGAGCAGGGUGGGUUUGUUACGCUCCAAACGAACCCUUUGUGUUACUGGAUUUCAGAUCUGUCCCCCGGGUGCCAGGGGGGUAGAUCUGAAUCCUUUGAGUUCAUCUGAGAUGCUGAACGCUCUGCAGCAUUAACGCUUCCACAUCUGGGAGUACUUGAUGAGGGUCUGUCUUUUCCAGGCCAUACAGGUUUGCCUUUUAGGUGCAUCUGCUCGGCACACUCAGUUCCAGUGGGCUGUAUCACCACAGAAAAAGCCCGGAUACUCCUCAUCUGCAGCCUCUUUUUCAAGAUGAAAAAACAGCCUGUGGGAAGAACUUUUGAAAGAGGCAGGGGAGGGAAGCCUGGUGUGCCGAAACCAGUCCUGUGUGUGUCUGCGGAGCAACUGGGGAGCCAGAAGCACAACUCACGCUGAACUGUCCCCUCCUGUCUAUGGCAUGGAGCAAA